AUACAACUCUCAGCAACGGAUAUCUUGGCUCUUGCAACGAUGAAGAACGCAGCGAAAUGCGAUACGUAGUGUGAAUUGCAGAAUUCCGCGAAUCAUCGAGUCUUUGAACGCAAGUUGCGCCCGAGGCUUGACCAAGGGCAUCUCUGCCAGAGCGUCACC
rnacentral:rRNA from 1 species